AAAAAGGUGGCUGAGUCUAGGCGCUAGAUUGUAAAUCUAGAUACGAGUAAUACUCCCUUUUUA
rnacentral:tRNA from 1 species